rnacentral:rRNA from 1 species
GUGCCAGCAGCCGCGGUAAUACGAACCGGACAAACGUUAUUCGGAAUCAUUGGGCUUAAAGGGUGCGUAGGCGGCCGCGUAAGUCGGGUGUGAAAUCCCUCGGCUCAACCGAGGAAUUGCGCCCGAUACUGCGUGGCUAGAGGGAGACAGAGGCGAGCGGAACUGAUGGUGGAGCGGUGAAAUGCGUUGAUAUCAUCAGGAACACCGGUGGCGAAGGCGGCUCGCUGGGUCUCUUCUGACGCUGAGGCACGAAAGCUAGGGUAGCGAACAGGAUUAGAAACCCUAGUAGUCC